rnacentral:rRNA from 1 species
ACAAAGGUAUUGAAAUAAGACUUUAAUUGAGUGCUAAGAGAAUGGAUUAACGGUAAAAUUCUUUUUUAAUUUCAAAAAUUGAAGUUAUUUUUGUUAGUGAAGAAACUACAAUAAAAAUUAAGGACAAGAAGACCCUAAGAAUUUUAAAUAAUUUAAAAAAAAUUUUUUUUAAAUUUUUUUAAUUGGGGCGAUUAAUAAAAAUAAGAAACUUUAUUUCUCCAAAAAAAUGAACCAUUAAUAAUGGCCAUAUGAAAAAAAUACUCUAGGGAUAACAGCGU